CAAGCCUAAUGCAAGUUCCGGUUCAGGACAUGCUGGGUAGUAGUUAACAGCCAUGACUUCUGAUCCUUCUUCAAUGUCUUCUUUUAAGCUCGUGAACAUUAUCAGACAUCAGCUGCAUUUUAUCUUCGCUUGGCAAAUUAAAGAAUGCAUUUGCAGCAUCUAAGGCACCAUUCAUGACCAAAGAUCUAGUUAGUAAGUUGCCUUACACUCUGGAUGAAACUAAUUCUCACAUCUACAUGACUACAUGCAUAAAGUAUGUGACUUUUACACAAUGAGCUCAAAUUCCUGCCUUUCUUGGUGCGUGUAGUAUUCCAUCAUGGCACUUAUGAGAAAUUAGAACAUACUACUCAAAUAAUCAUCUAAAAUUGCAUGCAUUGACAUGAAUGAUAGAUAAAAUGCUCGGACUUUUUUCUUUCUAGGAGAAGCGAUAGUUCUCUUACUCUCAUCCGUGUUACACUACAGUGUAACAUGGACAUUUGUUGAUAUUGUAUGUACCUGGAAGAA